rnacentral:tRNA from 1 species
ACCUAGGUGGCUCAGUCGGUUGAGCGGCUGACUUCGGCUCAGAUCAUGAUCUCAUGGUAUGUGGGUUUGAGCCCCACUUCGGGCU